rnacentral:rRNA from 1 species
AUUGAACGCUGGCGGCAGGCCUAACACAUGCAAGUCGAGCGGAUGAAGGGAGCUUGCUCCUGGAUUCAGUGGCGGACGGGCGAGUAAUGCCUAGGAAUCUGCCUGGCAGUGGGGGAUAACGUCCGGAAACGGGCGCUAAUACCGCAUACGUCCAGAGGGAGAAAGUGGGGGAUCUUCGGACCUCACGCUAUCAGAUGAGCCUAGGUCGGAUUAGCUAGUUGGUGGGGUAAAGGCCUACCAAGGCGACGAUCCGUAACUGGUCUGAGAGGGUGAUCAGUCACACUGGAACUGAGACACGGUCCAGACUCCUACGGGAGGCAGCAGUGGGGAAUAUUGGACAAUGGGCGAAAGCCUGAUGCAGCAAUGCCGCGUGUGUGAAGAAGGUCUUCGGAUUGUAAAGCUCUGUAAGUUGGGAGGAAGAGCAGUAAGUUAAUACCUUGCUGUUUUGACGUUACCAACAGAGAAAGCACCGGCUAACUACGUG